AGUGGGGAAUCUUGGACAAUGGGGGCAACCCUGAUCCAGCCAUGCCGCGUGAGUGAUGAAGGCCUUAGGGUCGUAAAGCUCUUUCGCCUGUGAAGAUAAUGACGGUAGCAGGUAAAGAAACCCCGGCUAACUCCGUGCCAGCAGCCGCGGUAAUACGGAGGGGGUUAGCGUUGUUCGGAAUUACUGGGCGUAAAGCGCACGUAGGCGGACUGGAAAGUUGGGGGUGAAAUCCCGGGGCUCAACCCCGGAACUGCCUCCAAAACUAUCAGUCUAGAGUUCGAGAGAGGUGAGUGGAAUUCCGAGUGUAGAGGUGAAAUUCGUAGAUAUUCGGAGGAACACCAGUGGCGAAGGCGGCUCACUGGCUCGAUACUGACGCUGAGGUGCGAAAGUGUGGGGAGCAAA
rnacentral:rRNA from 1 species